ACAAUGUUUAGAUAAAAAUAUAUUUAUGGAGUUUCCCUCUUCAAGUUGCAAUUAUAAAACUGAUUCCUAGCAUAAAUUUCUCCAUGAACUUUUCAGCUGUAUGUGUGCAAUUUGUUUUGAACAGGCAUGUUUUUAUGUGCUGAAAGUCGGUCUUUCAGUGUCAGUCAUGGUCUUUAAGACAAAUCUUCCACGUUGAAAGAUAAUAGGAGGAAUUGAUUUAACUUGGAGAACUGUACAACUUCAGCUGACAGAGCCUCAUUUCUUUGACAGAGACAUACAGAAGACAAAAGGCUUUGCACACCUGAGUGUGAGCAGUUUAUCCCGUACUUUGCAGACCUCAGGAUGACAGUCUGAAUUACAAGUGUCAGUGGGCCGCCAUCUUCACUUCUCCCACGUAUACUCUUUUAUGCAAAAGUGUGGACUUUGGUUAAACCAUUUAAAGAAAACUGGUAUAGCCUAAUCUCACUGUGGUUUUUGCUUCUUGCUAUCAGAAAGGUUAUAAUUGAUAGGAGCAUAUUUGACAAAAACUGCUUACAAAUUGUCUUGUUGCUCUUUGUUUGCCUACCCAUCAACUAGUAUUUCAUAUAUAUAAAACCUCAAAUCCAUUGGCAUAUAUUUACGUAUGUAACUGCUUCUUACAGGUUCUUACUGCUUAUUGUUUUGGGAUAAGGAGUCUUAUUGGAGUCUUUGUGUUCAACAGGUGCAUAGAGCAUACAAAAUGUGCUGUUCUUGUCUAAGUUGUGAAAGUAUUUCUUUUAAAACCAGAUGUGUUGGAAGGUAAAUUCUGAUGUAAAAAAAUAUUAAGUAGUACUUUGUGCAUAAUGUUUAAGGAUGCUGCAUCUGUAAUCUAAUAGUAAAUCUCAUUUAUGUCUACAUAAAAAAAGUGAUUUCAAGUUUAUGCAGUUGUAAUGUAGCGCAUAAUCAUUUUUCUUGUUUGAUGUUAUCCCAAAUCUGCUUUCUGUUCUGUAUUUUUUUUCUCCCCUUCUCUUUAUCUUCUGUCUUUCUGCAUUACACUUAAUAUAAACAUGACCAUGUAGUAUAACUCCUCCUGUAAACAUGGUGCCCGCUGGUCAGGAUGCAGGCAUGUGUAUUAAAUACAGCAUCAAAUUAAA